UUUUCUAUGUAACUCACCCAAACCCUAAAUUUGUUCGCAUUCAUGAUUUGGACUGAUUUUUAUUCAGGAUUUCGGGUUCGGAUUUGCAUGGUAAAUGAAUUUUGUUUAUAAGAUCAUAUUCGAAGCAGGAUUCGGGGUAAGAAUUUGACCCUAAACCCUAACAUUAGGACAAAGGUUUACUCCAGAAUCCUCCAUUCCAUUUCGUGUCCUACAGUAUACUCAAACAUCUCUGACGGAAUCACACAUCGUCGCUGCGCUCAAUUGAAUACGGGAUUUUGUAGCGGAAGCUUGAUCGGAGAACCAGAAAGCAAUCAUGGAUGUUGAUUCACAGCCAACUAUGGAGGAAACUAUUUUUGGUUGGUGAUGAUCUAAUGAUGUGGCCACCAUCGCCGAUCAUUCCACCAGAGAUUGCAUCUCAUGUGCUUGAAGGGGUAGAUUUGUGUGAUGGGAUCUUGAGGAAUCUAUUUUUGUGUAAGUCUUGCUCCUUUCCCCUUCUUUUUUGUGUAUCAACUUUUCCUUCGAUAAUGUUUAUUUUUCCUUUUUAAAUUUUGGUUUUAUAUUUUACGCUUGCAAAUCAAUGACAUUGAGCCAUUUUGUCAAGAUGAGAUUGCUUUGUAUCAGCAAUGUGCU